CCAGCAGCUGCGGUAAUUCCAGCUCCAAGAGUGUAUAUUAAAGUUGUUGCGGUUAAAAAGCUCGUAGUUGAUUUUAGGAUCAGGAUACAUCCGGUCCCGGGCGUGUAAAAGCGUCUGGAACAAGGCCGAGUAUACCUGAUUCUAUUCGUCGAAACGUAUAAACACCUGUAGUAAUACAGGUGGUUUCGGUGGUUUUACUUUGAAUGAAUUAGAGUGUUUAAAGCAGACGAAAUCGUCUUGAAUAUUUUAGCAUGGGAUAAUGAAAUAUGACCUACCUGCUCAUACUUUUAUUGGUUUCUAGAGCGGUGGUAAUGAUUGAGAGGGACAGUCGGGGUCGCUCAUAUUCUGUG
rnacentral:rRNA from 1 species